rnacentral:ncRNA from 1 species
AUGUUACAUGAAAGGAAAGAAUAGGACUCCCCUCCACAAGGAUGGAAGAGGCUCUCAGGCCUAACAACACACAUAUGGGUGAGGCAUUACCUCCUACCUUGUGGCAUGGCAUCUACCCUGGUUU